rnacentral:lncRNA from 1 species
AGGCUAACAGAAACCCAGCCCUGCCCACUGGGUGAAACUGCAAGUCGAGAGCGUGGGAAACCAGCAAGUUGAGAGAGGAUCCAGAAGUAACCCCUUCUAAAACGGGAAAGAUGCCUUCCGAAAGCACUUGGCCCUAAAGAGAAAACACUAGGAGGAUGGGAACCAGGGACAGAGAAGCUACUUGCUCUGCAGCUGUUUGGGCCAGUAUGUUCCCUAAUCUUGAUGGCCAUCCUGGGCUUAUUUUCCUGAGAGUCUCUAAGUGACUCACUGCAUCACGUAAAACUAAGAAAAAGGAUGUCCUGAAUUUUCCUGCUUAGAGAGCUUGUUUUUCUUUCCUGUUGCAUCAAAGGGGUCUGUUAAACUUUCUAAAAGUACUAAUCUGACCUGAUAUCUGAAGUAACAGAUAGGAAUUUGGGCUCUUUAAAUGGAGCCCUUCCCCCAUACCUGCAUCUCAUUGAAGAGGCUGAACUUCAAAACAAAAUCAUGUUGGAGAAUUAAGUCUCGUUCCCAGAUUUAAUUUCUUAUUUUUAUAUUGUUGCAUAAGAAAUCUACUCUAUAAGGCAUCUAUUUUCAAAUUUGGAAAAUCUUAUUUUAAGUUCAUUUAUUUAAAGACCAACAAACAAAAACACCAAAUUCACUAGCCCAGGUCUUUAUG